GCCUUCGGGCAUUUGGUCAAUUUGAAACGAUACAGAGAAGAUGUAAGCAGUCCCAGAGGUCCCACGUUCGAGUCUGGGUGCAGUCACUAACAAACUCACAGUAGCAUGGCCCCUGCACUAAGGAUGACACGCUCAAUCAAAGAGAAGCUACCAAUUUUU
rfam:Colletotrichum gloeosporioides Cg-14 contig03019, whole genome shotgun sequence.